rnacentral:rRNA from 1 species
GAUGAACGCUGGCGGCGUGCCUAAUACAUGCAAGUCGAGCGAACGGACGAGAAGCUUGCUUCUCUGAUGUUAGCGGCGGACGGGUGAGUAACACGUGGAUAACCUACCUAUAAGACUGGGAUAACUUCGGGAAACCGGAGCUAAUACCGGAUGAUAUUUUGAACCGCAUGGUUCAAAAGUGAAAGGCGGUCUUGCUGUCACUUAUAGAUGGAUCCGCGCUGCAUUAGCUAGUUGGUAAGGUAACGGCUUACCAAGGCAACGAUGCAUAGCCGACCUGAGAGGGUGAUCGGCCACACUGGAACUGAGACACGGUCCAGACUCCUACGGGAGGCAGCAGUAGGGAAUCUUCCGCAAUGGGCGAAAGCCUGACGGAGCAACGCCGCGUGAGUGAUGAAGGUCUUCGGAUCGUAAAACUCUGUUAUUAGGGAAGAACAUAUGUGUAAGUAACUGUGCACAUCUUGACGGCACCUAAUCAGAAAGCCACGGCUAACUACGUG